GUUUUCUCCAUCAGUUUCAGUUCAGUUCUUUUUCUUCUUUCAUCGACCUGUUUGAUCCAUGCAUUGGGGUUCUUUCCAUCUUUCUUUCUUUCUGUCUUUCUUUCUUUGUGGAAUUGCCAAAUGCUUCAGCCAAAGAUGUUUCAGUUGGACUUCAUCUGACCUGCUUACACUGUCCCAGUCUAAACUGGUGUAAAUUAGUUUAAACUAGUCUAAACCUGUUUAAACUGGUCUAAACCCUUCCUACUGUCUGAAAAGCACAUGCAUGUGUCCACUGCUUCCCUAAACCCGUGUAAACCAGUCUAAACCUGUUUAAACCAUCCUACUGUCUGAAGAGCACUUGCAUGUGUCCACUGCCUCCCUAAACCUGUUUAAACCGGUCUAAACCCAUUUAAAGCGGUCUACAUGCCUCCCUUUGCUCUUCAUCCUUUCUUCUGUCAUUUCCAUCCAGACCGUGGCUGUGGUCGAAGCUCUACAUUCAGCUCCUGGUUCUGAACAGGACAGUUGGACGUGAACUGAACCGGUCCAAGCUCUGCUUCUGGACCAGGUCUAAAGGAGGACGCAGAGGGACACUGUGGGUCCUACUGUGGGUCCUACUGUGGGUCCUUCUGUGGGUCCUUCUGUGGGUCCUUCUGUGUCCUGGUGGUUUCUGUCAGAACUGUCCUUGUUUGGGGUUUGUGUUUCCUUUCAUCCGUCCUUCUUCCGUCCAAACAUCUGAGUGUCUCCUUCCCAAAAUAUGAAUUAAUUUUUUAAAUUACAAACAAUUCAAUAAACUGUGUAUUAAUUAUAAUACACAA